AUGCCUUUUGAUAAAGCUAUAUACAUUUCAUCAUAACUACCAUAGAAAAAUUAUCAUAAAGGAGUUAUGAUAUAAU
rnacentral:sRNA from 12 species